AGGAUGCCAAUGAUACCGCUACUGAACCAUGCUUAUUUUGUAUCCAUUCAUCAAAUUAGCUGUAUUUCGGUGUGAUAUAUCACUUUAUAGGCUGUUUAUAUUAAGUGUCUGUGUGGAGUGGGGACUAUAGGACUGCUUAUCUUGAGAUCUAUGAGGACUAUGGACAGUGGACUACACUGACUAGAGGUAAAGGCUACACAGAUUGGCUGCCAUGAUCAGCACAUCAAGCACUCGUCCGUUCUUGGUGGUUGUGCCUCGCAUUGCCCCAAAUAUGGCCACAGACACAGAGGAGGACAGCGAGGAUGAAAUAGAUGAAACCCCUCCUGGUCCAGGACGUCUGUUCAAUGUGAA